GACAGAGGAUGCAAGCGUUAUCCGGAAUUAUUGGGCGUAAAGAGCUCGUAGGCGGUUUGUCGCGUCUGCUGUGAAAGACCGGGGCUCAACUCCGGUUCUGCAGUGGGUACGGGCAGACUAGAGUGCAGUAGGGGAGACUGGAAUUCCUGGUGUAGCGGUGAAAUGCGCAGAUAUCAGGAGGAACACCGAUGGCGAAGGCAGGUCUCUGGGCUGUAACUGACGCUGAGGAGCGAAAGCAUGGGGAGCGAACAGG
rnacentral:rRNA from 1 species